CCAGCAGUAGCUCCCAUCAUCAAAUUUGCUCUCAAAUAAUGAUUAUACAAAUUGACAUCAGGCUUAUUAGGCUUGCCAUUUUGUCCAGCGACCUUAUCCAGAACUCAAACAGUUGUUUCACAUCAGGCCAUCGCUGCGAGCUCAUCCAAUCCGCGAACACAUUCAACAGAUCAUUGAGGUCGAGAUUUUGAGACAUGGACCGGAUGCGACCAGCUAGCGUUUGCUGGAGGAAGCCGAAAUUAAUUAGAGACUGA
rnacentral:misc_RNA from 1 species